CACGUAGGGGGCGAGCGUUGUUCGGAAUUACUGGGCGUAAAGGGCGCGUAGGCGGCCUUCUACGUCGAACGUGAAAUCCCCGGGCUCAACCCGGGAACUGCGUCCGAGACUGAAAGGCUUGAAUCCGGUAGAGGGAUGUGGAAUUCCAGGUGUAGCGGUGAAAUGCGUAGAUAUCUGGAGGAACAUCGGUGGCGAAGGCGGCAUCCUGGACCGGUAUUGACGCUGAGGCGCGAAAGCCAGGGGAGCAAACGGG
rnacentral:rRNA from 1 species